UACGGAGGGGGCUAGCGUUGUUCGGAAUGACUGGGCGUAAAGCGCGCGUAGGCGGACCUGCAAGUCGGGGGUGAAAUCCCGGGGCUCAACCCUGGAAUGGCCUUCGAGACUGCCGGUCUUGAGUUCGAGAGAGGUGGGUGGAAUUCCGAGUGUAGAGGUGAAAUUCGUAGAUAUUCGGAGGAACACCAGUGGCGAAGGCGGCCCACUGGCUCGACACUGACGCUGAGGUGCGAAAGCGUGGGGAGCAAACAGG
rnacentral:rRNA from 1 species